AACAUCCUGUCUUCAAUUCGGAAAGGGAGAUUUGGGAAGCAUCCAUCGUUCUUGCAGGACUUUGUAUGAGUUAUGAGCUGGAAGGAUCGAUGAAUCUGUGAGGACCAUCAAGCCGGAGACACUUAUUACAUGUUCAUAAUCCCGAAGAAUCUGAAGAGAUAGAACUUUCUGGAGUAAAGAGACGUAGUGGAGGUCGAAUCAACUGUGAUUAAUUGCAAGGUUUAAUGGCUUGAAGGUGAAGCCGUUACAAAGAUCUGCAGUUCGACGAAGAAACUGUGAUUAGGGUUCAAAGGAAAGCGGCUAUGAAGACAAUAGAGAAAGGUUUUUUACGUCUGGGCCAUACUAACUGAGGGUCCAAAUAUAACUAUUAUACAAACCCACACAAUUCAAUAUUAAGAAAGCCCAAAUAAUACAUACCGAAACAAAACGCAGGAGAAAGUGUGCUGACGUGUCUGAAUGCAGGCUUCCUAUUGGCUGAUUUUCUAUGCUGACGUGGAUAGGCUCAAUGGAGCUCAUAUAUCCCUUUUAAUAUAGUAUAGAUACUGAAUAUGAUAUGCGAGUCGCUUCUUGGUUUAAUAUGAGUUACUAUGUGCUAUAAUGAUUGUACCAGAUAAUUAAACAAGUGAUGAGUGAAAUGCAUUGCUCGUUUUGGGAUUCAUGUCCAAUGGAAGGAAAGUGAACUACGUACGUUGGUUAAUUUAUCGUAUGCGUAGUGAGAUAUAUUUCGAGCUCGUUGUAUAUGGUGAGCCCGUAAGUAACUUCGUAUAAACUACAUGUCAAACCUAAGUUAAACCACCAAUAUCAAAAUCAAUUGAAUUCAUUUUAGGUUCCGCCAUCAUUUACAAAACCAACCAUUCUGAACCAAACCAAACGGAACCCAUGUCGAGAAGAAAUACUCAGGAUUUGAUAGAUAUCUUGUUUGAACGUGCCAAAACCGAGAGAGGGGUGAAAAAUCGACGAUGGAGAAGGAGAGAACAAUAUGCACCAACUUGGCCAUAAGAUAACAUCGUUGAGAUAAGGACGUCGGAAGAAGGCGAAGAAUUGACGGCUCUCGUUUGGUAUCUGCUCAUAUCUUCUUAACGGUUGAUAUUUAUCCUUCUUUCGUUGGACUCUUCUCACACUACAUCGAUAUAAUUCGAUACUAUAAUUUAUUCAUUCCCGAGGUUCAUUCAAUAUCAUUUAAUACACGUACGGUGGAAUCUUUCUUUCUUUAUUACGUCUAUAUUUGGACCGUCGAGAAAAUUCGUAAAAAGAAAAAUUGAGGAAACAUGGAUUUUAUAUGAUCUUUAGAUCGUCUCGUGAGUAGUGUUUGGCAUAUCGAAAUAUGUAACUGUUGUUAGAUUUUAUUAAAAAUAAUUUUUAGAACAUGCAGUUCAGAGGAACGUAAUUAUCUCCAGCUACUUUCAUUUGUUGUACGUCUAAUUCAUACAUAAUUUUCAGUUAUUCUCAGUGUAUGCUGCUCUUAUUUUACAUUUACCAUAUUACUUAUUUGGGUUAUACCAAUCAUACGUUCGUUAGCUUUCAACUAUGCUAGUAACGUCUCAACUUUAAUUGAUGUGUGGUGUGAUUGUAUCGGAAGAAGAAUGUUUGAUGUAAAAUGAGAGCAAACUACUAAGAAUAGAUGUAUAACAGAUAAUAAUCUUCCUCUUUCACCAAAAAAAAAAAUACUCUUGCUCUAAUUAUUAGCUUAGUUAUAGUAUUAUUCAUACACAGAUCUAGAGGUACAUUACACAUACAUUCAUUCAGUCAUAGAAGUUAUUAAGCAAGAGAUUCAUGAUUUGAUCUGCUUUAGUUGCAUCAAACGCCAAUGGUAAUAUACAUCUAAUAUUGUAUGACUGCAACCGUCGGAAGACGAACGGUAGAUGUAAAAUGCGAACAUAUAGCAAGAGUAGUUAAAACUUUUUUCCAGAAUGGACAUAACAAAUCAUGUUGUUCUCAGAACAUUUUCAAUAUAAAACUCCAUUUUUUCCUCUAAAAUAAAGUAACAUAGAAUAAAAAAUUAAAAUGUUCUAACCAGGAGCGGACCUAAAGCACGAGAAAGUGUGACAUGUGUCCCACCCUAAUUUUUAUUUUUUCAUUAAUAAUUAGUGCUAAGUUUAUGCAAGUACAUUUACAUUAAACUUUGAGUCAUAAGAAAACUGUUACAUGCCUCAUACUAAAAGCCACCUUGGAUCCGCUUCUGGUUUUAACCAUAUUUCAUUGUUCACUCUAUAAUAGAAUAAUGAACAAACAAAAAAUGGAUUAUUCCAUUAAUAGAGUAAAUUCUAUUAUAGAGUAAGAAAUUGACUAGAAUUGGAGUAUUUUUUUUAUCUAUAUUUUAUUUCAGAGUAAAAAAUAGAAUGACGUUAGAAAUUUUCUUAUAUUUCAGUUUGUUAUUUGUUUACAUGUCUUAGAUGAUGCAAUUCUUCAACGUACUCUUAACGCGUCGUAAAUAUCUGAUUCUUUUUUUUGGUAAGUAUCUGAUUCAUCAGAAGAAAUCUUUUGACAAUUGGCUUCCUUUCAAUGGAACCAAGGUUGUGAGCAGAAACCAGUAAAAAGCAUACUUAUGAAAAUGAAACAGGACACAGAAAGUAUCGAAUUCAAUCAAAGUUAUCUAGUUAACAUUUAAAACGUAUGUUGUUGGGAAUAAAUAAAUUAGAAAUUUCAAGAUUAUCACUGGCGCAUACUCCUAUAAAUAAGUCGAACACAUGUGGGAUCCACUUAGUUCUAUAAAAAAAUUCUCGUAUUAUCAGCAUGGCUCGUCAGUUAAAGUAAUUUGUAUUCCUUCAUCUAGCUAAAUAUAAGAAGUAGGUUAUUUGUGUUGUCUUUUUGGAAGUAUACAAUUAUAAAAAGGUGAAAGUAAGUUGGUUAUGAAUUAUGGAAGUGAUGAAAGUAAUUGCUAACGGGCAGCGACAAGAAUGACCAAAAAAUCAAGACAAAUCGGAAAAUCAAACACUAAACGUCCAAAAAAAUGUAUGGACGGUAAAUAAAACAAAUAGAAAAUGAUAGAAUACACCAUGUGAUAUAAGGGAGUUUGGUUUAUGAAGAUUGAUAUAAUGGACGAUGGGACAAAUAAUAAAUAAUACGUUGGGGCCGGGCUUGAGGUCCAUUGCAUACUCGUCGUCCGAGAGGUCUGGUCCCUUGGCGGCUUCCUCAGGGACGAUGCUGUUUGGUCUCUUGUUUACGUAUCGUGAUCUUGUUGACGAUAAAAGAAACCCACUCCAAACAAAACACACUCUUAAUAAUAGUUCAAAAUCUUGAAUAUGAAUUGCAAAGCAGGAGUGUUACAAAAAAAAAAGGAUUGCAAAGCAGGAGAAGGCGAUAUCAUCAUAUCAGUCAUCAAAAAAAUACUGAAUUACUUAGCUUUUUAUUUUGACCAGAUGAAUUACUUUGUUAUUCAAUCGGAAAAGGAGAAAUAUUCCAAAGCUCAACACUUUGAAUUACAAAAAUUACUUAUUAAUUUUAUUAGAGUACUUGGUUUGAAUGAUACUAUAUUUUAGAAUGAAAAAUAGAGUGAUGAACAAAAAACUAAAUAAAUUUUGAAUAGAAUAAACUAUAUUUUAUUAUAUAUAUAGAGUAAACUAUAUUUUAUUCUAUUAUGAAUAGAAAAUAGAGUACUAUUAAAUCAUUUUUACUCUAAAGUCUAAUUUCUAAUUUUAGAGUGGAAAAUAGAACGAGGUUGAAGAUGCGAUAUACGAAUCUUCUUUUGGUCAAAAUGCAAGUCUUUAUUUACUUGACCACAGCAAUAUAGAGCCAACAAAAUGCAUAUACAAAUUUGAGUGGAUGGUGGCUCUUGAUAAGAUGCUAUAGCCAAUUUGAGAAUCAAAUGGAGAGAGACAUAACAAAGGCCACCACGCUUAUCGCCUCUUAUCUUGUUUCUACCUAGUAUUUAUCAAAAUCUGCCUUUCAUAUUUCAUUCUUAUGCAUAUAUACAACUGAUAUUUUGUUGGCUACUUAACAUAAGAUAUAUCAUCGGUUUAUGUGGGUAUCCUUUUUCUAUAAAAUUUUAAUGAACAUGAAAGCUGAAAGAAAUAUCUCCACGCCGUAUUUAUGUUGAUAUCUCAUACUUGAGCAAUUAUAUAUGUGGAAAUAAAUAAAUAUAAGUGCAUUGACACAUCGAUCACCUAGGUUUCUAUCUUCUAGUGUUCUUCUGUAAGUUAUGAUUCUUAAAUCAACAUUUUUGCAAUUUCUGAUAAGGAUCAUAAGGGGUGAAAUCUUAAGUUCAUUCAGUUUUUGUGCAUGUAAAAUGUGAAUAAACUAUAAGGUUAAGGUAAGUUUGCAAGAUAUGUUUAACAUUUACACCCAAAAAAAAAAAGUUUGCAAGAUAUUUUAUUUUCUUGGUGGAAAUUGGCUUUGCAUGGAAAUUAAAGUGAUCGCUUUUCUGUCUUUUGUUUUGCCGAGAGAAUGAAAAGAAUAGAUGGUGUCAGAUCUAUUGCCAAUGUCACAAAGUACCUUUUUGUUUCAAAGCAGUUGGUGUUCAAGAAAUUCUCAGGAUUAAACGAGUAGAACCAUGUAAAUAACAAAUUUUAAAACCUAAGCACUAGGUUGAUAUAUGUGAUCUAAACUCAUACUGAAUUUACCUUGAUCAUAAAUUCUUAUAUAUCAACUCUGUUCUUACUGGGAUGUCCAUAUGUUACAUUUCAAUUAAAAGCCUUGAUGCUCAAUUUUUGUUCUUUUUUAUUUUGCGUUGUGCGAGAAAGUAUCAGCUGCAUCAGAACUCAGAAGACAUGAGAAAGGCUCGAUCUGUCUGCCGGUGAAUACUCUUGAAUUGUUAUCUCUGAAGUUUCGUAAGAAGAAUGAUAUAGUACACUAUCUAUUAUAAUUCUCUAUUCUUGAAAUCAUCACACUGAAGUCGCCAAUUCCUUUUUUUCUUCUUAUUGUUCGAUAUUCAGGAGUGCCUUAGAAAUCUUAGAAACAGAAUUAAAGGUUCAACAGAUCAAGAACCACAAAGUCCAGUUGUAGAGGAUCAAGUGGUUAGUAUUUUCACUCUCUAAUUUACCCGGUCGGUUCACUACUGACUCACGAUGUAAAUAUGUAGGAUCCAUAUAAUAUGUGGUCUUACAUCUUAAUUGCUAUCAUUGAUAUCUCUACAGGUCAAGAUGAAUCAUAUGGUAACUUCAUUGGCAAAGACCUUUAAAUCUCCACUAGUUGACACCAUUCAAUCUAUUCUUCAACACCAGCAAGUAAGUUACAUCAACAUAAACUUAUUGAUAUCUGGUACUUUUGUUCUCAAGUCUUAGUAUAUUUUACAACAUGCAUAUGCAAAUCUUUUUUCUUGUUUGCCAUUGUGUUCUAAAGUAUAGUUCAUAUAUUUUGAAAACAAAUACUAAGUUUUGGAUAACAAAAAUGAAGUCACAAAAAACUUAAGACCCAUGCUGGUUUAUUUCGCGUAUGGUUAAGUAUACUGAAUCUGAAUGUUAGUAGUGGACUGUAAUCACAUUGCUUCUAUUGAAAACUUGCAGAUCGUAGUCUGCUCUGCUGCAAAGGCCUUUAGAGAAAGAAAAAAGGACAGAAGCAUUGCACUAUUGCUGAGAAUAAUAUUUAUUGAAUGAACAAUAGACACAAACACAUAUAACUUAAGACAUUGUACAUAAUAUUUUCGUCUCUGUGUUUGACACUUUGAUGCAAUUAAAUAAGUUAUACUUGGAAAUAUGUAAAUCUUCGAUGAUCACUCCAGCUGGAAUUGUAGAGUUCAAUAACAUUGUACGGUGCUAAACGACCAGGUAUUAACUUCUACAAAGAAUACUCGAUCUUCUUCUUCGAAGUGAUAACAGUUUUAGAACAACUCUCAUGUUUGUGUUUGAUCACACUUUAAGAAGUACUUCGACCCAGAGUAGCUAGCUCUACUGAUAAAGAUUUUGUUUUAAGGUAGAGGUGUUAGGUUUGAGUUUCAGUAGUUGAGCGAAGAGGACUUAGCAACCGGCUUUUGUCCCUGGCCCAAGAAGUUAUGUGCUAUUUUAGGAUUCAAACCAUAACUUCUUGAAUUAAAAAAAAAAUAUUUUAGUACACUAUCUCAUUCUAAGAUGUUAGAAAGGUCUUGGGUUUACAGAAAACUGCAGAAACCGAGGAAGCUAGAACAAAAAAGCUUAUCCUUUCAUCCAGUUUGAAAUGUAUGGGAUGGUAAGAGAACUUUACUUUGGUUGAUAAUUGGCUGGAAUUAGGCAAUUUGUAUGUAGAUCUUCUGAAGAAGGAUUUGGUCUCUGCGAUGGUUCUACAGAAGUUGAAACUCUUCCAUCAGUAACAUACAUGUUCAAAAAAGUAGCCUUCUUUUGGUUGUGAGAUACUGAUGAGAUACCCAUUCUAAGAUGUAGGCUAUUAUCAAGCCCACUCACAUUUUAAAAAUGUUAGUAAAUUUUGGUUUCUCUGAACAAUCAAGUUACAGAUUCUGAUGA